GAUGAUAUAGCUCAGGGUAGAGUUCUUGCUUAGCAUGCAUGAGGCCCUAGGUUCCAUCCCCAGUACCACA
rfam:Heterocephalus glaber contig145718, whole genome shotgun sequence.